UUCAAUUGAAGGAAAUCAACGUUAGUUGGAAGGAAAAAAAUGUUCGAAAGAAGCUAAUUUUAAAUUCAUUUUCAUCAGACAGCUUGCUGUUUAACCGCUUGCUCCUCCUCCUUCUCAUCGUUGGUUCGAUCAACUGCAAUGGAAAAUAUAUCUAAUUUGCCAGUGUUUUCGGCAUCCAGCGUCUGUUGUUUAUUUCAUCAGUUACGUGCUGUGAGUGCAUGUAAUAUUUACUUCUUGCUUUGUAUCGCCAGCAGUUGGUAGCUUCUGCUGUUGCCAACAUGAGUCCACAACGACGAAUAUUUCUCGUCUAUCUGAUGUUGUUUUUGUGGCAUUCCCAGUUGACAGUGACACUUAAUGGAUGGAUGGAUGAGUCACAGACACAAGGUCCCGGAUGAUAAGACCAACAAAUAACUAGGUUCUGGCAACGAAGGAAGCAUGAAGCCCUAUUCUAUACCCAAGGCAAAUUACGAUUGGCUGCAUUUCGUUUGAAUGAAUGGUUGGCGGGAUGGAUGGAUGUACUGAUGGUCAUUCGAAUGCAGUCUGCUGUCGCUACCAACUGAAAAUUUGCAUAGUAAUAAAUAUUCUAAAAAACAAAUGAGUCAAAAAGCUUGAACAAAGUUUUGUUCACUCAAUUUGUUUUCAUGUUAUUUUAUGGCAGUGACAUGUUUUCAUGAUUUCAUGGCGUUCUGUUUUUUCUGAUUUUAUUUUUUCUUUUUUGCUUUAAGAUAGGAAAACUACAGCAGCGACGACUACAACCACUAGCCCCAUAUAUAUGCACCCGGGUAUAAUAUUCUAUAGUAAUAUUUAUAUAACAGCAUGUGAUGUGCAUGCUAUUUGUUGUCGUUUUUUUUGUUUGUCUUUGCCAUCAUGAUUUGUGUUUUGAAUGGCUGUUUCGCAUAAAGUCAAGUUGCUAGUUGGACAAAGACAAAAAGUCACUUCUGGUGCCAAGAGCGCAAUUGCAUUUUGUAUAGCUGUCUGUUUUUGUUCUGUAAUGAACAUUUUUAAAUAAUAUAUGCAUUAUGAACUAUAA